UACAGAGGUCCCAAGCGUUGUUCGGAUUUACUGGGCGUAAAGGGUGCGUAGGCGGCCUUGAAAGUCUGAUGUGAAAUCUUGGAGCUCAACUCCGAAACUGCAUUGGAUACUGCUUGGCUUGAGGGAUGGAAGGGAGACUGGAAUUCUCGGUGUAGCAGUGAAAUGCGUAGAUAUCGAGAGGAACACCAGUGGCGAAGGCGAGUCUCUGGACAUUUCCUGACGCUGAGGCACGAAAGCCAAGGGAGCAAACGGG
rnacentral:rRNA from 1 species